rnacentral:rRNA from 1 species
AUUGAACGCUGGCGGCAUGCCUAACACAUGCAAGUCGAACGGCAGCGCGGGAUUCGCCCUCGCUGACGGGGGGCGAGGGGCGGGUGAGUCAUGGGAACGUGCGAAGCUGCUUGGGCUAGGGCGGCGACGGAGGGAUUCAUACCCCAAUACAGCAGACGACGUACGGGGGGGAGCGAAGGAUCUUCCGACCUUGGACGGGUCGAUGUCGGAUUAGCGAGUUGGUGGGGUAAAGGCUUACCAAGGCGACGAUCCGUAGCUGGUCUGAGAGGACGAGCAGCCACACUGGAACUGAGACACGGCCCAGACUCCUACGGGAGGCAGCAGUGGGGAAUAUUGGACAAUGGGCGCAAGCCUGAUCCAGCCAUGCCGCGUGGGUGAAGAAGGCCUUCGGGUUGUAAAGCGCUUUUGUUCGGGAAGAAGAGCUGUAGGCUAAUACCCCGGGGUUAUGACGGUACCGAAAGAAUAAGCACCGGCUAACUACGUG